ensembl:lncRNA DNAJC3-DT DNAJC3 divergent transcript
GAUAGGAUAACGUGGAAGCACGAGACGAGGCUGCGCCCGCCGGUCGCAGAGCUGUCAGCAAGCUCCAAACCGCGGCUGCCGCCCGGAGGGAAGCAGACGGGGAGUCGGUGGCGGCCGCCGAGUCCGCAUGCGCAGGCUGCAAAGGCCCUUUUGGGCCGGUCCCGCCGCGCUAGGUUGGCGAGUGGGACUAUUUGAUCCUUUCCAGGUUCGCCAGCGUGGUGUUACGAGAGGAAAGCGCAGCCGCAGCGUACGAAUGGGAAGGCCAAACACGGUCCCGGGGAGUCUGAGGGAAGCUGCAGGGCGCCUGGAAUUGGGGUCUCGAGUGAGCCGGUAAAAACCGCCUCCCGCUGAGCGUCCCGGAACAAAUACUGUCUGAACUGAGCCGUAAGCAAGAAACGGUCAGGAGAAGCUGGGGCGAUCUGAUGAUUAGAACAUUUCAGGGACUACCAGAGAGAAGUGCGUAAUUGCUCUAAGGCAGGUAGGUAAUUGGCCUGGAAACUUGGGAACGCCCCGCCCCCCACCCCGACUUUCAGCAAACCACCGUGCCCAGGAAAAAGAGCGAUUGUGGAAGACCCUGUGAAGAAGAGACCAGGAAGGCACUGUGGCUUAAGAGAGCAAGGCGUUCCUGAAUGCAGCCAACAUCAACUGGUAAACAAAAAACUGUGAGAACGGAUCCUGAAUCUUGCGCUUACCAGGGGAAAUUCAGGAGAGAUAUGAACCUGAGCAAGAUGAGGUUGAAGUUACUCAAUGCGGCAUUAAGCCUGUUCACGGCCACUUCCUCCGGCGUCACCAACACACACACUGUACACCAGCAGUAUUUUUACACGGGGAAACAUUUCUAGGCUGGGCGCAGUGGCUCACACCUGUAAUGCUAGCGCUUUGGGAAGCCAAGAUGGGAGGAUUAUUUGAGGCCGGGAGUUUGCGACCAGCCUGAGCAACAUAGCAGGAUCCUGUCUCUGCAAAAAAAUUUAAAACUAGCCAGGUGCGGUGGCUCGUGCCUGUUGCCCUAGCUACUCAGGGAGACUGAGGCAGAGGAUUGCUUCAACCCAGGAGUUUGAGGUUGCAGUGAGCUAAGAUCAUGUCACUGCACUCCAGACUGAGCAACAGAGUGACACUUUAUAAAAAAAAAAAAAAAAAAAACUAGGUUUUUGAACUUGCUUAAUCAAAGAAUUUGUUUAAACUUUUAAGAUGCGUUGUCAGAUUAUCUUUCCCUAAAGGAAUAAUUUCUAUUCCUAUCAGCUGUUUAUAUUCCUGCCUAGUCACCAUCACUAGAUAUAAUUGAUUUUCAGUUUUUGCCAAUCUGAGGAACAAAAAAUGACCCUUAUAUGUCAAAUUUACAGUUUAUUUUCAAGGAUUUUGGGAUUCUGAUCAAAUUUUGGUACCUUCAUAUAAAAUUUGGCUUUUAUAUCACAUCUUGUCUUCUCUGCUUUCCACCCUCUUUUAUGUUGUUUUUUGGCUUCUGGCCGCAUGACUAUAAUCUCCGCUUUUGUAUUCACAUCACCUUCUGUCAUUUUUGACCUUGCCUCCGUCUUACAAGGAUCCUUGUAAUUAAUUAUAUUGGGCCUGCUGAGAUAAUCCAGGAUAUUCUUCCUACUCAAGUUCCUCAAUUUAAUCACAUCUGCAAAAACUGCCUUUUGCUAUAGAACAAUGACAGGAGAUUAGAAUGUAAACAUAUUUGGGGGACCGUUAUUCAGCUUAACACAAUACGUCCCCCUUCAUCAGGUGGAGCUUAUUUUCCCUCCUUCCUUGAGUGUGGGCUGGACUUAGUGACUAACUUCCAAAGAACAGAGUAUGGAAAGGGAGGAGGAGAGUAACUUCAUAGUACAGAAACCUGGAAACACUGUCUUGGCCAGGUGGUCAAAGUUAAUAUCAUCAAGUCAUGUUGAUAGCAUAUACUCCCAAUAUACUGUGAUGAGAAGGGCAAUUCACCUCUGUGGUAUUCUCAAAACCUAUAACCCAAUCUAGUCUAAACAUGAAAAAAAAAAAAUCAAACUAAAAUUGAAGGACAUUCUAUAAAACACCUGAUCAGUAUUCCUCAAAACUAUCAACGUCGUGGGGAACAAGGAAAGAUUGAAAUACUGUAACAGACCAGAGGAAACUAAGGAAACUUAAUUGAUGACUGAAUGCAGUGUGCUGUGUUGAACUGGAUCCUAGAGAAAAUAGACAUUAGUGGAAAAACUACUGAAAUAUGAAUAGUCUCAAGUUUAAUAGUAGUGUACCAUUAUUACUUUCUUAGUUUUGACAAAUGUACCAUGGUUAUGCAAGAUGCUAACAAUACAGAAAAAUAAGGGGUAUUUGGGACCUCCCUGUAUUAUCCUUAUGCCCUUACUUGAAAGUUGUUUCAGCAAUAGAAGUUUAUUUAAAAUAUUGUGAAGGGCCUGAGUAUUUUUAAAUCAACUGCAGUGACUCUCUUUUGUGUAUUUGUGUACAGAUGAGUUUUUCUGCAUCGAAUUUUAUCUCCUUUCCUUGCAGAAGAAAGAGAAUUAGCCCUUUACAGAGAUAACAGUUGCCUAAGCCAGCUCUUUUCUCCUCUUUUUGAUGUUCUUCUUUUUCUCUCAGUUUGAAAAUUGUAGGUUAUUUGAGUUUUUAAAAUGUCUAUUGCUACAUACACAUUCUAGUUAUAUUCUAGUCCAAACAAUCUAGUAAAAUAUCUAAAAGAAAAAUGCUGUUCACUGUAUUUUUUAUUUUUAAAAUGUGAGUGAGUGCAUUUAAAUAAUAGGUUGUGUUAUUAUAAUUAUGAGCUAAAAGUUUUGAAGUGUGAUUUAAAGAGUCUUUAACAUUACAAUUCUGGACUACAAAGUGUAAAAAUUGUAUUUUAAAAGAUUCAUGUACUGUUUCCGAUAAAUAGAUGAAUCUUUGAUCACUG